AGAGAUUUUGGAGAGACAACACAAGGAGCACAUGGGUGUUUUAAAUGGAAUUCACGAUACACUGAGAGCUCUGCUGGAAACCAUGACGGAAGCGACUGUUGCAUAAGGAGUAGGCACAGCAAAAUAUUCAUAUUUUCUAAAUAUUAUAUUCAUUGGUUGGGGCCAAGGCUUUGCGUAUGUACACCAAUAGCAGUAGCUGCUUCAAACGGGGUUACAUAGACGCGCUCCAAUUGUUGUUGCAUUGAAAUCUAUUCCCGGAAGGACAGUAAUGUUCACUACAAUCGACUGUUAUUAUAAUAUAUAUUAUAAAAAAUAAAGAGUUAAACAUAA